UAGGGAAUCUUCGGCAAUGGACGAAAGUCUGACCGAGCAACGCCGCGUGAGUGAAGAAGGUUUUCGGAUCGUAAAACUCUGUUGUAAGAGAAGAACAAGGACGUUAGUAACUGAACGUCCCCUGACGGUAUCUAACCAGAAAGCCACGGCUAACUACGUGCCAGCAGCCGCGGUAAUACGUAGGUGGCAAGCGUUGUCCGGAUUUAUUGGGCGUAAAGCGAGCGCAGGCGGUUUCUUAAGUCUGAUGUGAAAGCCCCCGGCUCAACCGGGGAGGGUCAUUGGAAACUGGGAGACUUGAGUGCAGAAGAGGAGAGUGGAAUUCCAUGUGUAGCGGUGAAAUGCGUAGAUAUAUGGAGGAACACCAGUGGCGAAGGCGGCUCUCUGGUCUGUAACUGACGCUGAGGCUCGAAAGCGUGGGGAGCAAACAGG
rnacentral:rRNA from 1 species